AGUGAACGCUGGCGGUAGGCCUAACACAUGCAAGUCGAACGACAGCACAGUAAGAGCUUGCUCUUACGGGUGGCGAGUGGCGGACGGGUGAGGAAUACAUCGGAAUCUACUUUUUCGUGGGGGAUAACGUAGGGAAACUUACGCUAAUACCGCAUACGACCUACGGGUGAAAGCAGGGGAUCUUCGGACCUUGCGCGAUUGAAUGAGCCGAUGUCGGAUUAGCUAGUUGGCGGGGUAAAGGCCCACCAAGGCGACGAUCCGUAGCUGGUCUGAGAGGAUGAUCAGCCACACUGGAACUGAGACACGGUCCAGACUCCUACGGGAGGCAGCAGUGGGGAAUAUUGGACAGUGGGCGCAAGCCUGAUCCAGCCAUACCGCGUGGGUGAAGAAGGCCUUCGGGUUGUAAAGCCCUUUUGUUGGGAAAGAAAAGCAGCAGGUUAAUACCCCGCUGUUCUGACGGUACCCAAAGAAUAAGCACCGGCUAACUUCGU
rnacentral:rRNA from 1 species